AUUGAACGCUGGCGGCAGGCCUAACACAUGCAAGUCGAGCGGAUGACGGGAGCUUGCUCCUUGAUUCAGCGGCGGACGGGUGAGUAAUGCCUAGGAAUCUGCCUGGUAGUGGGGGACAACGAUUCGAAAGGAACGCUAAUACCGCAUACGUCCUACGGGAGAAAGCAGGGGACCUUCGGGCCUUGCGCUAUCAGCUGAGCCUAGGUCGGAUUAGCUAGUUGGUGAGGUAAUGGCUCACCAAGGCGACGAUCCGUAACUGGUCUGAGAGGAUGAUCAGUCACACUGGAACUGAGACACGGUCCAGACUCCUACGGGAGGCAGCAGUGGGGAAUAUUGGACAAUGGGCGAAAGCCUGAUCCAGCCAUGCCGCGUGUGUGAAGAAGGUCUUCGGAUUGUAAAGCACUUUAAGUUGGGAGGAAGGGCAGUAAGUUAACACCUUGCUGUUUUGACGUUACCGACAGAAUAAGCACCGGCUAACUCUGUGCCAGCCGCCGCCGUAAAAC
rnacentral:rRNA from 1 species